ACAGGUAACCUGUUUACCCAAUCCGACCCGACAUGUUUAACCUGUUUGCCCAACCUGACCCGUUUAACCUGUUUAGACCUGUUUAAUCUAUCCAACCCAACCUGUUUAAUCUGCCCAACCCGACCUGUUUAGACCUGUUUAACCUGUUUAGACCUGUUUAACCUGUUUAACCCGUUUAACCUGUUUAACCUGUUUAGACCUGUUUAACCUGCCCAACAGUUAAACGGGUUAAACGGUUUAGACAUGUAAAACCCGUAUCCGACUCAA
rnacentral:lncRNA from 1 species